UCAAGGAGAACGAGAAUCUUCGGAAUCUCUAGUAAACUGGCGCAAGGGUGAGUAACGCGUAGGUAACCUACCCUGGAGUGUGGAAUAACUUCGCGAAAGCGGAGCUAAUACCGCAUGAUAUUCAUUGAACACAUGUUCGUUGAAUCAAAGACUUGUCGCUCUAGGAUGGACCUGCGUCUUAUUAGCUUGUUGGUAGGGUAACGGCCUACCAAGGCUACAAUGAGUAGCUGGUCUGAGAGGAUGAUCAGUCACACUGGCACUGAGACACGGGCCAGACUCCUACGGGAGGCAGCAGUGAGGAAUAUUGGGCAAUGGGCGAAAGCCUGACCCAGCAACGCCGCGUGGGUGAUGAAGCUUCGAGGAGUGUAAAACCCUGUUCGGAGGGAAGAAUGUCCGACUUGUCGGAAUUGACGGUACCUCCAGAGAAAGCUCCGGCUAACUCCGUGCCAGCAGCCGCGGUAACACGGGGGGAGCAAGCGUUGUCCGGAUUUACUGGGCGUAAAGAGCAUGUAGGCGGGACUUUAAGUCAGUUGUGAAAUCUCUCGGCUCAACCGAGAACCUGCAAUUGAAACUAUGGUCCUUGAGUACGGAAGAGGGAAGUGGAAUUCUUGGUGUAGCGGUGAAAUGCGUAGAUAUCAGGAAGAACACCAGUAGCGAAGGCGGCUUCCUGGUCUGUUACUGACGCUGAGAUGCGAAAGCGUGGGGAGCAAACAGGAUUAGAUACCCUGGUAGUCCACGCCGUAAACGAUGGGCACUAGGUGUUGGAGGUUUCGACCCCUUCAGUGCCGCAGCUAACGCAUUAAGUGCCCCGCCUGGGGAGUACGGCCGCAAGGCUGAAACUCAAAGGAAUUGACGGGGGCCCGCACAAGCGGUGGAGCAUGUGGUUUAAUUCGAUUCAACGCGAAGAACCUUACCUGGGCUUGAACUGCAGUCGACAACCCCUGAAAGGGGGCCUUCCUUCGGGACGGCUGUAGAGGUGCUGCAUGGCUGUCGCCAGCUCGUGUCGUGAGAUGUUGGGUUAAGUCCCGCAACGAGCGCAACCCUUGUCCUUUGUUGCCAUCAGAUAAUGCUGGGCACUCAAAGGAGACUGCCUCGGUUGACGAGGAGGAAGGUGGGGAUGACGUCAAGUCCUCAUGGUCCUUACGUCCAGGGCUACACACGUGCUACAAUGGUCGGUACAAUGGGCAGCAAUACCGCGAGGUGGAGCAAAUCCCCAAAACCGGCCUCAGUUCGGAUUGGAGUCUGCAACUCGACUCCAUGAAGUCGGAAUCGCUAGUAAUCGCUGAUCAGCAGGCAGCGGUGAAUACGUUCCCGGGCCUUGUACACACCGCCCGUCACGCCAUG
rnacentral:rRNA from 1 species